ACCUUCGGGCCUCAUGCCAUCAGAUGUGCCCAGAUGGGAUUAGCUAGUAGGUGGGGUAACGGCUCACCUAGGCGACGAUCCCUAGCUGGUCUGAGAGGAUGACCAGCCACACUGGAACUGAGACACGGUCCAGACUCCUACGGGAGGCAGCAGUGGGGAAUAUUGCACAAUGGGCGCAAGCCUGAUGCAGCCAUGCCGCGUGUGUGAAGAAGGCCUUCGGGUUGUAAA
rnacentral:rRNA from 1 species